GACGAACGCUGGCGGCGUGCUUAACACAUGCAAGUCGAACGGAAAGGCCCUGCUUUUGUGGGGUGCUCGAGUGGCGAACGGGUGAGUAACACGUGAGUAACCUGCCCUUGACUUUGGGAUAACUUCAGGAAACUGGGGCUAAUACCGGAUAGGAGCUCCUGCUGCAUGGUGGGGGUUGGAAAGUUUCGGCGGUUGGGGAUGGACUCGCGGCUUAUCAGCUUGUUGGUGGGGUAGUGGCUUACCAAGGCUUUGACGGGUAGCCGGCCUGAGAGGGUGGCCGGCCACAUUGGGACUGAGAUACGGCCCAGACUCGUACGGGAGGCAGCAGUGGGGAAUAUUGCACAAUGGGCGGAAGCCUGAGGCAGAAACGCCGCGUGCGUGAUGACGGCCUUCGGGUUGUAAACCGCUUUCGCCUGUGACGAAGCGUUAGUGACGGUAAUGGGUAAAGAAGCACCGGCUAACUACGUG
rnacentral:rRNA from 1 species